UCUUGAAUUCAUUGAUCGCAUCAUGAUUGUAAUUUUUAUGAAACUCAGUUGUGGUCUUAUAUUCAACUAGUCUUUAAUUCUACUGUAGUGAUCAACAAAAUGGAUAGUCAUAUCUGUUCCUAGACGCUAGUGCAGCAUUUGCUAGCACUUCUCCAGUUCCCAGUUAUAUUCCACGAGUAAAUACACACUAGAUGACCUCUGGAACUUUGUAGGAAUGAGUCACCAAUAGAAAACUACAGUGGAAUAGAUAUUCCAACUUAUUAAAAUGACAAAUUGUUUCUUGGUUCUAAAUGUAAUACAUGGAUUCAGGAGAGACGUCAAAACAUACCAAAUUAACUGCUUAAUGCAACACUAUCCACUUUGGAACUGUAUGACUCACAGAGAGAAAAGGAAGGAAAACAUCAAGUGUUUUGAGUGAGUUAUGGUCUAAACACUAACUGCUGCCCAAAUGGUCAAUUUUCAGGCCUUAAUUGCACUAAUCCGGAUUGAUCAUUUUUCAAGUUACCUUAGAAGCAGAAUUUUCGUAAGCUUCUUUCAUGAAAGUUGGCACAUUUUGUGCCUAGUUUCACCUCCAAUUGGUUUCAUACCAAUUGGAGCCAUACACUUAAGGUUCUAAGCUAAAACACACACUGCCCUAUUGCUCAUUGUCCAUCACUCAUCAAAUGAUACAUUUAACACUUACCAAAUGACACAUUCAUGCCAAUUCUGGUUUGUACCAUAACCUAAACACAUUUCACAACAUAUUAUUGGUCAUUUUGGCAGCUUACAAUCACACUCAAUAUGCACCAUUUAGUACAGAAUUUUUCAAGCUCAAAUUACAACAAUUCAAUCACCUAACCUAGCUCAUUUACAUGUCCAACCUCACACCAUCAUACAUAUACCCAAGCUGCCAUAAUAACUACCACAAUUCAACAUUAAUAUUCCAUAAACUAAACAUGAAAUAACAUUUUUAUGGUUCACCAGAUCAAGCUGCCGAUUCAUACAUCAGAUUCCAUUAAUUUCCAAGCUUCCAAAUUCAAGUACACAUUUACAUAAACUUAAUAUACAUCAUCCAAAUAAAUUCCUACACACAUAAACACUUAAUCAACCCUUUAAUCUACCAUUUACAAGCAAGAAUAAACUGUCCUCAAGGAGUUUCCAUGGCUGCCAAAAAUAAACAUCUCCCUUAGAACAUCAAACUCCAAAAUUCUUUCCACAAUUCAAGUACCCAUAACCUCCUCACAAACUUUAAUGAAGCAAUAACCAAAAACACAAACUUACCACUUUGGAAACUCUUCAAAACCUUGACUAAAUUUGAUCUUCUUGCUGCCUAUUUACUGCCCAAGUGGUGUAGAACAGUUUUUGUGAAGGAAGCUAGUAAAAAAUAUGGCUAAAUCAUGGUUGCAUGGAGCUUGGCCAUGGAUGGCCAUGGAGGUUCUUCAAUGGAGGCUCACGGCUGGUUUUUGCAAUGUUGAAGAAGAUGAGCAAUCUGCCCAAAAUAUGCUGAUUAUAUGGCCACUUAAUUGAGUUAGUGGACCACUAACUUAGAUUAAACAUUUAAUAUUCUAAAGUUUUCAUAUUCCCACAUUUAACUCCAAAUUUUUGCUAUUUAAACUAUGUACCACCAAUUUAAUUUUUCAUGACAUUUUUCAAGUGUAACAUCAUUUAUUUUUAAUGGACAUUUAGGUUAAAAGACAACUCGGGGUGUCAAAUGACCACAAUGCCCCUGUUCGGGUUGCAUUCUCGAUUUUUCGGAUUCCCCGCGGUCCAGGGCUAGUCAACGGUCCACGCUGCGGCUUCCCGGUGCAGUCACCCAUCGUUAGGGUUCUUGGCUCGCUUAACUUGCUGAAAAAGACCCAUAAGGUAUACGGGACUGAGUCAAGGCCUAGAGGCGACUCACGUCAGAUAGGGAAAAAGACAUAGCAGCAGAGCAAGCUGCUAUAGUUAGAGAGGAGCACAAUUUAAGAAUUUUUGUACGGCUGAAAAAAACCCAGAAGGUCUGAGAGACCGAGUCAAAGCCUAAAGGUGACUCACGUCAGAUAAGAGUAAGGAAAAAAUAACAGAGUGAGCUGUUGAACUGGAAAAGCCUUCGCUGAUCUUUUGUACGGGUAUUAUUUAUACCCUUAUAGUUAAUUGAUGUAAAUAUUGUAAUGUUUUAUAUAUCAAUGUAAAGUUGAGCAGUUAUAUAAUAAAUUGUAAUAAUGAUAUUUUGGAUUUCCUUUUUGUAAAUUAAGAUUUGUAUUUGUAAAUUUCGUACUAUAUACAAUGUGAAUGAAAUUGUAAAAUAUUUUGAGAUGACAAA